rnacentral:rRNA from 1 species
UCCGGAGGGUGCAAUCGUUAUCCGGAUUUAUUGGGUUUAAAGGGUGCGCAGGCGGAAUAAUAAGUCAGUGGUGAAAUCCUACGGCUCAACUGUAGAACUGCCAUUGAUACUGUUACUCUUGAGUACAGCUGAAGUGGGCGGAAUGUAUCAUGUAGCGGUGAAAUGCAUAGAUAUGAUACAGAACACCGAUAGCGAAAGCAGCUCACUAAACUGUAACUGACGCUCAGGCACGAAAGCGUGGGGAGAAAACAGG